AUUGAACGCUGGCGGCAGGCCUAACACAUGCAAGUCGAGCGGAUGAAGGGAGCUUGCUCCUGGAUUCAGCGGCGGACGGGUGAGUAAUGCCUAGGAAUCUGCCUGGUAGUGGGGGAUAACGUCCGGAAACGGGCGCUAAUACCGCAUACGUCCUGAGGGAGAAAGUGGGGGAUCUUCGGGCCUCACGCUAUCAGAUGAGCCUAGGUCGGAUUAGCUAGUUGGUGGGGUAAAGGCCUACCAAGGCGACGAUCCGUAACUGGUCUGAGAGGAUGAUCAGUCACACUGGAACUGAGACACGGUCCAGACUCCUACGGGAGGCAGCAGUGGGGAAUAUUGGACAAUGGGCGAAAGCCUGAUCCAGCCAUGCCGCGUGUGUGAAGAAGGUCUUCGGAUUGUAAAGCACUUUAAGUUGGGAGGAAGGGCAGUAAGUUAAUACCUUGCUGGUUUGACGUUACCAACAGAAUAAGCACCGGCUAACUUCGUG
rnacentral:rRNA from 1 species